rnacentral:rRNA from 1 species
AGUUUCAUGAAUAAAUAUGAAAUAAUUUCUGCCCAAUGAUUUAUUUAAUGGCCGCAGUACCCUGACUGUGCUAAGGUAGCAUAAUAAAUUGGCUUUUAAAUGAGGUCUAGAAUGAAUGGGAAUUUAGGUAAAAAUUGUCUCAAAUUAAUUAAACUUAACUUUUUUAAUUAGGUGAAAAGACCUAAAAUAAUAAGAAAGACGAGAAGACCCUUAGAAUUUUAAAAAGUUUAAGAAUUUUUUUUUGUUGGGGUGACAUAUUAAAAUAAUAAACUUAUUUUUUAACAAAGCAGUUAUUUACAAGAAAGAAAAAAUUACCUUAGGGAUAACAGCAUAAUUUUUUUUAACGAUUAUGACCUCGAUGUUGGACUAGGAACUUAAUAGUUAGAAAUUAAAAUAGAUAGUUCUGUUCGAACUAGUUUUCCU